rnacentral:rRNA from 1 species
GAUGAACGCUAGCGGCAGGCCUAACACAUGCAAGUCGAGGGGUAGAACACUUCGGUGUUUGAGACCGGCGCACGGGUGCGUAACGCGUAUGCAAUCUACCUUAUACAGGGGAAUAGCCCAGAGAAAUUUGGAUUAAUGCCCCAUAGCAUUACGACUUGGCAUCAAGAUGUAAUUAAAGUUCCAACGGUAUAAGAUGAGCAUGCGUCCCAUUAGUUAGUUGGUAAGGUAACGGCUUACCAAGACGAUGAUGGGUAGGGGUCCUGAGAGGGAGAUCCCCCACACUGGUACUGGGACACGGACCAGGCUCCUACGGGAGGCAGCAGUGAGGAAUAUUGGUCAAUGGUCGCAAGCCUGAACCAGCCAUGCCGCGUGCAGGAAGACGGUCCUAUGGAUUGUAAACUGCUUUUAUACAGGAAGAAACCCUCCCACGUGUGGGAGCUUGACGGUACUGUAGGAAUAAGGAUCGGCUAACUCCGUGCCAGCCGCCGCCGUAA